rfam:Ictidomys tridecemlineatus contig037359, whole genome shotgun sequence.
GGGGUUGUGGCUCAGCGGUAGAGCACUCACCUAGCACAUGCGAAACCCUGGGUUCGAUCCUCAGCACCACUU